rnacentral:rRNA from 1 species
GCCAGCGGUCGAUAGCACGUGGAAUGUACCAGUUUACAAAAAAUCACUGAAGUUAAGCAAUGUUUCGCUUGGUUGGUCUCCGGAUGGGUGACCGUCUGGACAAUCACAUGCUGUUGGCU